GGUCUCACUGAUUCCUCCUUCCUGAUGAGCUGUAAUGCCAUUAAUUUGGUGUUGCAGGGAAUCUGGACUGUUACUUUGAAAAAAUUAGAGUGUUUAAAGCAGGCUAACGCUUGAAUACAUUAGCAUGGAAUAAUGAAAUAGGACGUUCGAUCCUAUUUCGUUGGUUUCUAGGAUUGACGUAAUGAUUAAU
rnacentral:rRNA from 1 species